rnacentral:ncRNA from 1 species
AUGCCUGACGCCUCUAAGGUCGUAUCCGUGCUGGACUGCAAUGAUAAAUAAGGGGCAAUUUGCAUUGUAUGGCUUCUAAACCAUUAAAAGUUUUUAAUUUGUUUUAUUAACGACAAUGGAUGUGAUGCCAAUGUUAUUUAUAACAUAGUAAAUUGGGAGGAUCUUCGAUCACCUGAUGCCGCGCUAGUUAUAUUUUAAAACAUUAUUUAAUACAAUGUCAAAGCCUAGAAUCAAUUGUAAACGACUUUUGUAACAGGCAAGGUGUUGUAAGUGGUUGAGCAGCUGCCAUACUGCGAUCCACUGAAGCUUAUCCUUUGCUUGAUGAUUCGA